UGUUAUGGUAUUAGGACAUUUACUUAGUGAAAGUAAUUAAGUUAUCUUAGGUUACUUAGAUUUUUAAUUUAAAAAAGUUAAAAACGUAAUUAUGGAUACGUAAAUAUGCCGUCAAUGACGUCUUUUAAUUUUAUUAUCAUCAAUUUUAUUGCUGUAGCGUGGGUUAUGCUUCUCUUUAAAUAUCCAACGAAAUUUUGUGUGUGUAUUCAGUCUUGAUUGUAACGACACUCAAUACAUCAGCUCCUGCAGUAUAAAUAAUAAACCAUAAAAAAAUGUCCAAAUUACUCUUCUUCUUCAUUGCAAUGGUAGCCGUUAUUUCAAUGAUGGAAUUUGGUGCUGAAGGUUGCAAAGGAUAUUAUAAAUAUUGUGAAAUUAAUAGCGAUUGCUGUGAUGGAACACGUUGUGUUCACAAUUUCAUAGGAAAGUACUGCGCAAUAGGGCUAUUUGGUGCAAUCUAAAACCCAGUGUGUUACAAGUGUAUUAUUUUAACACACAUUAAAUGUAUUAUAUAUUAAGUUAAUAUUAUUAACUGUAUCGAUAUAUAAAAAUAAAAUAAAAGUACCGUACAA